AUUGAACGCUGGCGGCAGGCUUAACACAUGCAAGUCGAGCGGGGUGAUGGUGCUUGCACUAUCACUUAGCGGCGGACGGGUGAGUAAUGCUUAGGAAUCUGCCUAUUAGUGGGGGACAACAUCUCGAAAGGGAUGCUAAUACCGCAUACGUCCUACGGGAGAAAGCAGGGGAUCACUUGUGACCUUGCGCUAAUAGAUGAGCCUAAGUCGGAUUAGCUAGUUGGUGGGGUAAAGGCCUACCAAGGCGACGACCUGUAGCGGGUCUGAGAGGAGGAUCCGCCAAGCUGGGACUGAGACACGGCCCAGACUCCUACGGGAGGCAGCAGUGGGGAAUAUUGGACAAGGGGGGGAACCCUGAUCCAGCCAUGCCGCGUGUGUGAAGAAGGCCUUAUGGUUGUAAAGCACUUUAAGCGAGGAGGAGGCUCUUUUGGUUAAUACCCAAGAUGAGUGGACGUUACUCGCAGAAUAAGCACCGGCUAACUCUGUGCCAGCAGCCGCCGUAA
rnacentral:rRNA from 1 species